UGGAUCUGCAAUGGACAGAACAGCCCACUGCUCUUAUGACAUCGUGAACAUGUUGUAGUGACAAACGGUCGGUUGUGGAUGUACGCUCGUUGCCACUGUACGGCUCUUGAUUACGUUGUCGCAAAAGGCAAAGAAAGUUUACUCAUUGACAUUUCCCCAAAAGAGGCCCAUAUAAGAAACUGAUGUCAGCGAUUUCCGGGAUGAGCCAGUGUAUGAAUCAGCGGCACAUUGACAUUGCAGCCUCGCUCUGAGAAAACCAGGUUUAUUAUUGGUCUUAGAGAACAAAAGAAACACGAAAAGUAUGCUAACAACAGUCCUGUCAACGCUCACAAACAAGAUACGUGAUUCACGUGGAAAACCACAAUCGGACCACAGGACAGCUCUUUCUUUUAGAACAAUGUAGUCUCCUAUUGUUUUAGAAUAAAGGAGGGUUCAAUAAUUUAGUUGUUUACUGAAUAUUAAGGGUAUCGGAUUUCAGUGUGAACUGAAAAUCUUGCCAUUGUCAAAGACGCUGUGGCCUUAAAGAGAGUUAGUUCUUUUAGUUCUUUGAAAAUGAUAUGAGUUGUUUUUUUUUAAUGAUGACCUGCGUUCAGUAUAAAC